AAAUGAGUUACAUUUUUCUUUGCUAUUGUUAAGGUUCCGUAGCUCAGUUGGUUAGAGCGUGCGGCUGUUAACCG